rnacentral:rRNA from 1 species
AGAGUUUGAUCAUGGCUCAGAACGAACGCUGGCGGUGUGGUUCAGGCAUGCAAGUCGAACGAUCUCGCAAGAGAUAGUGGCAGAAGGGUUAGUAACACGUGGGCAAUCUACCCUCGACUCGGGGAUAACACUUCGAAAGAAGUGCUAAUACCCGAUGACAUUACGGUCCGGCAUCGGAUUGUAAUCAAAGGUGGCGCAAGCUGCCGAUUGAGGAGGAGCCCGCGGCCUAUCAGCUAGUUGGUGAGGUAACGGCUCACCAAGGCUUUUGACGGGUAGCUGGUCUAAGAGGACGAUCAGCAACAUUGGGACUGAGAUACUGCCCAGACUCCUACGGGAGGCUGCAGUCGAGGAUCUUUAGCAAUGCCCGAAAGGGUGACUAUGCGACACCGCGUGCAGGAUGAAGGCCUUCGGGUUGUAAACUGCUGUCAGGGGGGAAGAAACCCAGCUAUUUAAAAGAUGGUUGGCUGACAUCACCCCCAAAGGAAGCCACGGCUAACUCUGUGCCAGCAGCCGCGGUAAGACAGAGGUGGCAAGCGUUGUUCGGAUUUAUUGGGUGUAAAGGGCAGGUAGGCGGCCGGGCAAGUCUGAUGUGAAAUCCCAUGGCUCAACCGUGGAACUGCAUUGGAAACUGCCUGGCUUGAGUAUCGGAGAGGUGAAGGGAAUUCUCGGUGUAAGGGUGAAAUCUGUAGAUAUCGAGAGGAACACCAGUGGCGAAGGCGCUUCACUGGCCGGUAACUGACGCUGAACUGCGAAAGCAAGGGGAGCAAACAGGAUUAGAUACCCUAGUAGUCC